CGCCUACCUAUAAAAGCCCAACAAUUGCUUGAAAUCUUCAGACAAUUGUUCCCAGUCUAUUGCAAAAGAAGCACACGCACAGUCAACAUGAAUUUCUUGAACAUUUUCGUAUUCAUUGCCGUUGUUGUGGCCGUAUUCACCGCCCCAAUCGAUGCCAGAAGGAGGGGCGGUAACAGAGGUAGUAGUGACAAAUAUUGGAGAGCAGGGUCCCAUGUUGCCGGAAAGGCCGUUGAAGGAGUUGCUGCGGCAGCAGUCCAACAAAUUGGUUAGUUGACUUAUGUUUCUGCAGAAGGAGUUAGUGCUGAGCCAGUCUGUCAAAGAACUUAGCUUACAUUUCUGUAGAUAAUUUGAUUAAGCGGCCACACAAUAUGGGCGCAUAAAAUAAAUGCCUAAGAAUUAUA
rnacentral:sRNA from 1 species